rnacentral:misc_RNA from 1 species
GAUGAAGAACGCAUCGAAAUGCGAUACGUAAUGUGAAUUGCAGAAUUCAGUGAAUCAUCGAAUCUUUGAACGCACAUUGCGCCUGCCAGCACUCUGGCAGGCAUGCCUGUUCGAGCGUCAUUUCAACCAUCAAGCCCUAGGCUUGCGUUGGAGCCCUGCGGCUGCCGCAGGCCCCUAAAAGCAGUGGCGGGCUCGCUAUCACACCGAGUGCAGUAGAUUACUCUUCGCUCAGGGCGUGUGGCGGGUUCCAGCCGUGAAACCCCCUACUUCUCAAGGUUGACCUCGGAUCAGGUAGGAAUACCCGCUGAACUUAAGCAUAUCAAUAAGCGGAGGA